rnacentral:rRNA from 1 species
AUCCCAGUUCGGAUUGCAGGCUGCAACCCGCCUGUAUGAAGUUGGAAUCGCUAGUAAUCGCGCAUCAGCCACGGCGCGGUGAAUACGUUCCCGGGCCUUGUACACACCGCCCGUCAAGCCAUGGAAGCCGGGAGUGCCUGAAGUACGCGACCGCAAGGAGCGUCCUAAGGUAAAACCGGUGACUGGGGCUAAGUCGUAACAAGGUAGC